ACAAGAACACAAAAGAAGAAAAAGGCCAAAAAGUUGCUAGCUUCUUGAACUAAUUGAAGCAAGCAUCUGUUUUAGAGAUUUCAGAAAUGAGAAAACCCAAAUUUUCAGUAGGGACUUUGAUGGCCUGAGAUAAUGCAAGCCAUAUUUAUAAAAUAUUAAGAAGUAUUUAAAAUUAUCCUAUUCCUUUCUCCUAGUUACCAGAGUCUAAGCUCGCCUACAUCAGUUAGCAAAACAUUAACUCUACAAUAUUCAUUCCUACACUAAACACAAAAACCCUACAUCUGAAACCCAGGAGCCCCCUGAAAUAUGUUGAAGCAG
rnacentral:misc_RNA from 1 species